rnacentral:rRNA from 1 species
UAGUCCAUGCCGUAAACGUUGGGCACUAGGUGUGGGGGACAUUCCACGUUUUCCGCGCCGUAGCUAACGCAUUAAGUGCCCCGCCUGGGGAGUACGGCCGCAAGGCUAAAACUCAAAGGAAUUGACGGGGGCCCGCACAAGCGGCGGAGCAUGCGGAUUAAUUCGAUGCAACGCGAAGAACCUUACCAAGGCUUGACAUGGACCGGACCGCCGCAGAAAUGUGGUUUCCCCUUUGGGGCCGGUUCACAGGUGGUGCAUGGUUGUCGUCAGCUCGUGUCGUGAGAUGUUGGGUUAAGUCCCGCAACGAGCGCAACCCUCGUUCCAUGUUGCCAGCGCGUAAUGGCGGGGACUCAUGGGAGACUGCCGGGGUCAACUCGGAGGAAGGUGGGGACGACGUCAAAUCAUCAUGCCCCUUAUGUCUUGGGCUUCACGCAUGCUACAAUGGCCGGUACAAAGGGUUGCGAUACUGUGAGGUGGAGCUAAUCCCAAAAAGCCGGUCUCAGUUCGGAUUGGGGUCUGCAACUCGACCCCAUGAAGUCGGAGUCGCUAGUAAUCGCAGAUCAGCAACGCUACGGUGAAUACGUUCCCGGGCCUUGUACACACCGCCCGUCAAGUCACGAAAGUUGGUAACACCCGAAGCCGGUGGCCUAACCCCUUGUGGGAGGGAGCUGUCGAAGGUGGGACUGGCGAUUGGGACU